UAAGUAGAUAGUGAAGCGUUCGGCUCAACCAUACACCCAUUAUCUGAACUGCUAAGCUAGAGGGCGAGAGAGGUAGCUAGAAUUCCUUGUGUAGGAGUGAAAUCCGUAGAUAUAAGGAGGAAUACCGAUGGCGUAGGCAGGCUACUGGCUCGUCCCUGACACUAAGGCACGAAAGCGUGGGAGCGACCGGGAUUAGAUACCCCGUUAGUCCACGCCGUAAACGAUGGAUGCUA
rnacentral:rRNA from 1 species